rnacentral:rRNA from 1 species
GACGAACGCUGGCGGCGUGCUUAACACAUGCAAGUCGAACGGAAAGGCCCUGCUUUUGUGGGGUGCUCGAGUGGCGAACGGGUGAGUAACACGUGAGUAACCUGCCCUUGACUUUGGGAUAACUUCAGGAAACUGGGGCUCAUACCGGAUAGGAGCUCUUGCUGCAUGGUGGGGGUUGGAAAGUUUCGGCGGUUGGGGAUGGACUCGCGGCUUAUCAGCUUGUUGGUGGGGUAGUGGCUUACCAGGGCUUUGACGGGUAGCCGGCCUGGGAGGGUGACCGGCCACAUUGGGACGGGGAUACGGCCCGGACUCCUACGGGAGGCAGCGGUGGGGAAUAUUGCACAAGGGGCGGAAGCCUGAUGCGGCAACGCCGCGUGGGGGAUGAGGGCCUUCGGGUUGUAAACCGCUUUCGCCUGUGACGAGGCGUGAGUGACGGUAAUGGGUAAAGAAGCACCGGCUAACUACGUG